rnacentral:rRNA from 1 species
UACAUGGGGUGCAAACGUUGCUCGGAAUUAUUGGGCGUAAAGCGCACGUAGGCGGUUUGUUAAGUCGGAUGUGAAAUCCCUCGGCUCAACUGAGGAAGUGCAUCCGAAACUGGCAGGCUUGAGUACUAAAGAGGGUCGCGGAAUUCCCGGUGUAGAGGUGAAAUUCGUAGAUAUCGGGGAGGAACACCGGUGGCGAAGGCGACAUCCUGGACCAACACUGACGCUGAGGAGCGAAAGCCAGGGGAGCAAACGGGG